AGCGGCGGACGGGUCCCUAAUGCUUAGGAAUCUGCCUAUUAGUGGGGGACAACAUCUCGAAAGGGAUGCUAAUACCGCAUACGUCCUACGGGAGAAAGCAGGGGAUCUUCGGACCUUGCGCUAAUAGAUGAGCCUAAGUCGGAUUAGCUAGUUGGUGGGGUAAAGGCCUACCAAGGCGACGAUCUGUAGCGGGUCUGAGAGGAUGAUCCGCCACACUGGGACUGAGACACGGCCCAGACUCCUACGGGAGGCAGCAGUGGGGAAUAUUGGACAAUGGGCGCAAGCCUGAUCCAGCCAUGCCGCGUGUGUGAAGAAGGCCUUAUGGUUGUAAAGCACUUUAAGCGAGGAGGAGGCUACUUUAGAUAAUACCUAGAGAUAGUGGACGUUACUCGCAGAAUAAGCACCGGCUAACUCUGUGCCAGCAGCCGCGGUAAUACAGAGGGUGCAAGCGUUAAUCGGAUUUACUGGGCGUAAAGCGCGCGUAGGCGGCUAAUUAAGUCAAAUGUGAAAUCCCCGAGCUUAACUUGGGAAUUGCAUUCGAUACUGGUUAGCUAGAGUGUGGGA
rnacentral:rRNA from 1 species